rnacentral:pre_miRNA from 1 species
UAUCUAUUCCCUCCGUUCCAAAUACACGCCUUCCUUUUGGCAAAAUAUAGAUGUAUUUAGACAUGUUUUAAUAUAUAGAAACAUCCAUUUUUGGACAAAUGAAAGUCAAGUAUUUUGAAAUGGAGGAAGUAUCUA